rnacentral:rRNA from 1 species
CACGCCCUAAACUAUGUCAACUGGUUGUCGGGGAAGCAAUUCCUUGGUAACGAAGCUAACGCGUGAAGUUGACCGCCUGGGGAGUACGGCCGCAAGGUUAAAACUCAAAGGAAUUGACGGGGACCCGCACAAGCGGUGGAUUAUGUGGAUUAAUUCGAUGCAACGCGAAAAACCUUACCUACCCUUGACAUGUACGGAAUCCUCCAGAAAUGGAGGGGUGCCCGAAAGGGAACCGUAACACAGGUGCUGCAUGGCUGUCGUCAGCUCGUGUCGGGAGAUGUUGGGUUAAGUCCCCGGGACUGCGCCCCCUUUGUCACGACGUGAACCUCACGACAGCCGUCACUCACCUGUCUA